rnacentral:lncRNA from 1 species
UUAGACUAUGGUAAUUGAUCCCCUCUGCAGGCUCUAACAAGCAACAACGGCCUUCUACUCAGACAUCCAUCUAUUUGUACCACAAUUAUUAUUGAAAACAUGUUUGAACAAAUGUUUCCAAUGAUAAAAUAAAAAUAUUUAAUAUUAAAAAGGCAGAUCUCGAGUUCUCGACCCAAAGUUCACCAGUCGUACCCCUCUACAAAACAAAGGCACUCUUCUUUCGAUGUGUUUUGCGUUGCCAUAGCAAACAAAUAAGCAAAGACAAUAAAACUGAAAAUCACAUGUAAGUGUUCAUAUAUUCUUGAUUAUAGCACUAGCUUAAGAUAAAUCAAUGACUCAUAGCAACAAUUCUCCAGUCAAAAAUUGCAGGUCAUUCGUUCGCAGAAAAAAGUUUAAGCGUAAAAAUGGAAGUUCAACAUGGAAAUGAAAAUGCACUACAAGGUCUACAACCAAAUUAGAAAAUUUGGAAGGUAUAAGAAUGUCCUCUGAAAACCUUAAGAGGCUAUAGUAAAUCUCGAUGAUCAACCGAACCUUUAUACACAUCCAGUAGGAGAGGCACGUCUCCCAGAAACUUGGUCACAUAUUUCAUCAAAAAAGAUUUCUCACUCCUGCAAGUAAAGGUACCUAUGCUUAAACUAUUCUUGAUCAGGUCUUUUGAUUUCAAUAUUUUAAUUAUCCUGCAUCUGGGGAUAAUCCUCUUCUCCAAGCUGUAUGCAAGAACCACAGGGUAGGCCGCAAUAUCCUCUGAUGGCCAGCCCAUAUCAUUCACAAGGAAAUUCAUCGAUUUCGCAAACCUCUCCUCUGUAAGCGACAUGAAAAAUGGAAACUUUCUAAAUGCUGAAAGAGAGAUUUCACGAGACCAACCCCACUUCUGGUAAGACUGUAACCUCGAUUCCCAUCUCGCCCACUUCUGGUAAGGCUGUAACCUCGCUUCACUUCUCGCCCACUUCUGGUAAGGCUGUAACCUCGCUUCACUUCUCGCCCACUUCUGGUAAGGCUGUAACCUCGCUUCACUUCUCGCCCACUUCUGGUAAGGCUGUAACCUCGCUUCACUUCUCGCCCACUUCUGGUAAGGCUGUAACCUCGCUUCACUUCUCGCCCAC